AGAGCACAAGGGAAAUCUAUGCCAGUGCAACAGCAACGUAUGAAACCCUGUGUGCUGUCUUGAGAGGGGGCAAGAGUGUGUUUCAGUCAUGUAACAGUAAAUUCCUGUAAUAUGGAUGCAGCACGCAGGUAUAAAUAUGAGCAGAGUUAAAUUCAAGUUCUGUCAGGUGGGUUGCUUUAGAAGAGAUUAGUCCCCUGAGCACCAGAACACUUGGCUUCCCACAGAGUUUAUCUUGGGCUUGGAUUGUGUGAUGUGAGAACAAGCUCUAUCUGACUUUUUACUGAGUAUGGGACAUGUGUGUGUCUGCUCCUGGGUAGAUGAAGCUUUGGGAAGGCUUGUGGGACUUUUCUUUAGAAGAGAGUGAGAGAGACCUUUCUGCAAAACCUGUGAGAGCUUAAUAUCCCUGAGGUCACUAGGGCUCUAUCAAGUGUGGCUGAGAUUGGCCAGUUGGUUCAGACGUUGUUGGAGGACAAGGGGAGGAGGACACAGAGUGGUGAUUGCAUAAGCCUUAUUUUUAGCCUGGCUUCCUAUGGGAAGAAAAGUUGGCUUGCAAUGGCAGGCUUUCUUACAGCACAUAGGACAUUCCUCUUAGGGACACACUAGGUCAGAUGUGACCUAAUGUAUUUUUUUUUUUCCUUCAAUAUUUAAAAUUAUAUAUAUGACACAAACCUGUUCCCACUGAAAUAAUGGGAAAUCAUCUUUCUACUUCAGGGGAAAGAAGAUGGAAACUAUGAACACUGGGUCUUUACCAGGCUGCCUCCAUCCAGCAAGAAGGGUCCCACAAGCUCACUCCAACUUGCUAUAAUGUUCUUCCCUACUGCCUAAUAAAUACCCUGUGGAAAGUCUCCAUUCAAGUGCUCCAAGAGGAAAUGUCUCCCUGGACUGUGAACACCAAGUCAGUGGGAAGAGGAGCUGAUAACUGAUUCCUGAGAUCCUGCUCUGAGUCCUGCUGAGCUCCACACAUGACGUGCCCCUCUUGUCCAUGUUUGCCUUGCCAAGCACAGAGGCUUUCUGCAGCAGAUCAGAACUGAGCAGCUUACACCCUUGAGAGAGUAUACAGCCAAGUUUUUACCUUGGCCCCAAGGAUUCUGAGAUGACCCAUUAGAUCGCAAGGGACUUUGUGCUGUUUCUCAGGGCUGGAAAAUCCUGGCUUUCCCUCCCCUUCUUUGGAUAACAGCUGAACUGCCAACAGAUACUGGACACUUGAGUCAAACUGGAGUUCCUAGAACCAGGAAUCAUCAAGCGUGGACUGUUCAAGCUCUCACAGACACCUCUUGUGACAGUGGCAUGUGCCUUUCCUCAAGUCCAGGGAGGAGAAGAGAAUCUUCCUGAGUCUUCUAGGGUCUGAGCUCCAGUGGGCAUUUGGCUUGGCUCUGUUCUAGUCCAUUAAGCUCAGCUCCUUCCCCAAAAUCCAGGCUGUUUGGCAGCUGAAGAGAGCUCCUUCAGCAGUGGAAUCCAUCCCAGAGGCAACAGGAACAGUAGAAAUUCUUGGAAAACGAUCUGGAAAGAGGUCAUUCUUCACCCCUAGUGCCAAAGUGUUGAGAGCCUUGGAGAAAGGAGAAGGAGCAGUGGAAAGUUAAAAAAGAGGAGGGACAAAAAGAAGAAGGGAUAGAGUUUCACAGUUUCUGACUGUGACUGAAUCCACGUCUGUAGAAAGGCUGCUGAGGAAUAAAACAAGCUCUGGAAUCUAAGAAGAGUCGUGUCCCUCUGCUGCCUUCCAGGGAUCUCAUUUUGUUGCAACGUGCUGUGAAUUAGAUCACAUCUGACAUCAGAGGCUGGUGGGUGUAGCAGCUCUGGGUCUGUUCAUGCCUGACGUCCACGGUUUGUAUCCAAAGUGGAAUCAGGGGCUGUGUGAAGGGAUCAAGGUGUGUUGUUCUCAGCCAAAUGCUGCAGUGUCUGUUUGCAAAAGAGCUUAAUAGUAGCAGAAUUGUGUUUAUGUAAACAAUCAUGUUAUUUCUAAACUGCUCAAUAUAUUAAGUGAUGGGAAAAUAGCUUUAUCAGUAGAUAUUGGUAACUAACUGGAAGGCAGGGCUGCAAGGGCAGUGAGAGGCUGAACUUUUCAGACAUCACCUGAUAACAAAAAGUUAAUACAUAUUGCAGAUAAGACUGCAGUUGGCUUGCCAAUGACAAGUGUAAACAGUAACUCUGCCUGUGUUGGAUUUCAGUAGCUCCAAGAUGACUCUGUAUUUUAGGAAAUGGUGGAGUUUUGAUAAUAUUUUUAAAGGGUUUUAUUAGGGAUUUUUGUCUGUUUGUGAAACAAACAAAUGAAGAGCCUCACAACAAUCAGUGUGCUGAUUCUGGCUCUGCUGAGUGCCAGUCUUUGUACUGAUUAGCACCUCAUCACAGUCAUUCCAAAAAAGCCUGAUUCUAAAAGCUUUCCAGGUGUGAUAUUUAUAUUGAAUCAAUUGGAACAUCUUUUCCAAGCAUCUGGUUAUACAGCAGCUAGAGCCAUGACCUCUGCUUGUGUAAAUGUUCCCAAGGUCAUUCAGAACCAGGGAGGAAUUAACCAUUGCAAGCAGAGAGCUCAGGGCAGUAUCCUCUGAACCAGGGAGCUCAGAGGGAAGCAGUGGCAUCCUGAUGGCACUGAGGCUGUGCUGUUCCUGUGGCCCACAGACCAUGGGCAGGGUGGAAAACUAGAGUAAGUGAUUAGGUGCCAUAAUAAACAGUUUUCAAAUUUGAAGUUGGUGAGAGCGUUUGUUGGCAUUGGCAACAGCCUGUUGGUGAAAAAUUCUCUAGCAUAUAAAAUCCUUUGAGCUCACCUCUUGAUUUGGAAUUUACAUGAUUCCUUGCCCAGCAGGAAUCUUUGCUGAUGGCUGCCUAAACUUUUGCUUUGUUUACUUAGUUGUUUCUUCCCUGUAGUUGUGCAGCAAUCCUUGUUCCUACCUGGUGCAGCCCCCUCCUCAGAAGGUAAGAUUUAGUAGAGAUGUCCACAUACCAUUUCUCAGCUUCCUAGCUGAAAGACUUCAGCAGCUGUUGGGCAAAGAGCUGGUUCAGUGACCUGGGACAUCUCUGAAGGAUCUGUAAUAUUUCUUCUUAAUAAGUAUUCUUCUUUAUAGCACUUCAAAGAGACACAAAGAAACAAGCAAGAAUCAUUUGAAAUCUCUUCUGUUAGUGCAAGAUGGGCCAGUUAAUGUCAGGACAGUAAGAUAAUAUUCCAUGAUGGAAGGAAAACAAAGUUUCUCCACAUUUCCCUGUUUUAUGGAGAGAUCAACACCCUAAUAAGGUAUAUUCAGCAAACAGGUGAUAACUUGACCAAACCAGCAACAUCUGAAAAUCAACCAAGUGUGCACGGUAACUGUUUCUCCAAAGAUCAUGCAGACAAAGAGGACUGAUAUGUGUGUGAGUGUUGAAACACUGCUCCACGAUUCAGAAUUUUUUUUCUUAACUGGAAAAAAUGAUCACAAAACCACCCAAGUUCACUACCUGGAGUUUAGGUUUCACUCCUUUCUAUUGCAUAGCUCUAGAGAAGAGCUUUGCCAUAUCCUGGAUGCUUCAUUCUGGUCCACACCUCUCAAUUAAGUCAUGCCUUGAAGGAAAAGUCAACUGUUUUAAAACCUGCUUUAACUUUAAAUGAGUUACUUAUAAAGAAGAUCAGUUUUAAAGGGAUAUCAUGCCUUGAACUUUUGGCUAAUUUCAGAGCCUUAUUCAGUUGGCAUUCAAUUGAGAUGGAGAUUGAGACACUGGCUGGAACGUUGGCAUCUUUAAUUUUUGGGUCAGCCAAAUUACUGAAAAAAGAGAUGUGUGAGUAAUUGUAACAGGAGUGUGGCUGCAUUCAUUAAUAUUUUAUAAUAGUUUCCACUUUCUAAACCCUGAUUCAAUCCUUUGUAGCUUUCUAGAACUUCUCCAGCUGAUGUUUUCCAGGAGUGGUCUCUGCCAAAGAAGGAAUUAUUUCCGUAGCUCACAGAUUUGAGGGGAAUAUGAUCAUUUGUAUUUAUAGUUGUGGGGUUUUUUUCCUGUUCUACAGGCUUUUUAUAAAACACUGUGAGCACCAAUCCCUGCUGUGACAUUUUUCACUGUCCUAGUUGUUAAUUAAGAAAUGCUUAUAUAAUCAAAAGAUUUUCCCUGUUAACCCCAGUCUUGUUUGAAUUUUCCUGUCUGUUUUAAACUGUAAUAACAGUUUUGGUAUUCUGAAUAGAAAACAUGGAUUCUAGAUUGCUAUUUUGUGUCUAGAAAACCUCACUUUUAUACACCACCUCAUUUAAAAAUGUAUUGAAUAGCAGGGAUGCCUUACAGCUCAUUUCAGGCAGGUAGAUAUUGAACUUCAUAGCCUCACUCUUCCUGCUGUUUUCAAACAAAGCUAAAAGCCAGGCAUACAAAAAAGCACCACCAAAAACACCCUACAGAGGUUCUGUGGAAUGGGGAAAACAUGGGUCCUAGGAAUAGCUAAGGGAAAAAAAAAAAGCAGGUAGAUUUUAAUUUAACUGGAAAAUACAUAAAGAAGGAUUUACAGCUGGAAAAGAUCAGGGGGUGGCUGAGAUUGCUGCUGGCCCCAGGUCUUCCUUUGACAAACGUUUGUGAUCCUGCCUGGUCUGUCUCGGACUAAGAUGCAGCGAAAGCUCCACCCUCUCACCUCUGCCACAGCCUUGCUAGAUUAUUUGAUCCUUGACUUUUCAGAACAUGUUUUGCUGUCUUCCUGCCACCCCAUCACUCCAAAUUAUGUCCAGCUCUUACAUGAACUUUUAGGAAAGAGAAGAAAGGAAAUCAUCAAUUAUGACAGAAGAGUGAAAAGAUGAAAGAGGAAAAAGAGAAAUGGAACAUCUGA